AGCAGCCGCGGUAAUUCCAGCUCCAAUAGCGUAUAUUAAAGUUGUUGCAGUUAAAAAGCUCGUAGUUGAAUUUCGGGAUCAAUUUAUCGGUCGUGCCUACGGUAUGAACUGGUACAAUUGGUUUCUCCCUUCUGAUGAAGCACGAUGUCAUUAACUUGGUGUCGUGGGGAAUCAGGACUGUUACUUUGAAAAAAUUAGAGUGUUUAAAGCAGGCCUUGGCUUGAAUACAUUAGCAUGGAAUAAUGAAAUAGGACGUUUGAUCCUAUUUCGUUGGUUUCUAGGAUCGACGUAAUGAUUAAUAGGGAUAGUUGGGGGCAUUAGUAUUCAAUUGUCAGAGGUGAAAUUCUUGGAUUUAUUGAAGACUAACUACUGCGAAAGCAUUUGCCAAGGAUGUUUUCAUUAAUCAAGAACGAAAGUUAGGGGAUCGAAGACGAUCAGAUACCGUCGUAG
rnacentral:rRNA from 1 species